GAGGUAACUGCCAUGGGGUAGGAAGCCCGGAAACCUCUCCGGCGACUGAUGAGCACUGGGCAGAUUAAAUAUGAAUGACAGUACAGAAUGGACAUGGGAAAACAUAGCAUCUCAGAAUUAGCUGCAGAGUCAGGAGAACGAACGUCACUUAUCAUCCUUGGUAUGAGACAACAAAACGGGAGACAGUAUCAGGGGCCAUUCUUUGGUGACCAUGAUUGUCUGCAUCUUAGUUCCCUGGAUCAUGAAGAAUUGUGUCAUGGAAGGUCCUAGUAGUGUAACAAGCCAUCCACCAAGAAUAAAGACUUAGAAUACCUUGCUCCUGUACCCAUGUUAGUUUGCCAGGGAAGACCUCAUCUAUAAAGCAGAGUAGGAGAACUUCUCUGGCCUUCAUCUCAGACUUCCCAGUUCCAAAAAUGGGAGAAGUACAUUUCUGUUGUCUGUUUCACCUAAUUUGUGGUAUGCUACAGCAACUUGAGAAUGAGACACCCACUCAAAAGGAAAACUCAAGAACAAGCAAUUUUUACCACCUCCUACUCAAUCACAUUGCUUUUAGAGCCAUAUGUGAUGAGUGACUGAAGAAGAAAAUGUAUGAACUACACUAAAUCAUUCAUACUUACUUAAAUUACAUGUAAAAUAAGCUCACAAUCAACUUUUGAAACCCAACAAUAUAUUUUUUUCAUCUGUCAGGAGUGAGAGUUUGUUCUGUCAACAUUAAGAGAUAAAAAUAUAAGACAAAAAUUGUAUCAAAGACUGGAAUAAAAUCCAACAUUUUCCCAUUUAAAAAUUAAAAAUAGCUUAUUUUCUCUUAUAAUAUAGCUUAUCCACAGUUUGCCAGCCAUCCACAUCUCCUAGAUCCCCACCUCUACCUCCCUUCUCCCCAAGAUCUACUACUCCCCCAUUUUGUUUCCUCUUCAGAAAUGAUUAGAACUCCAAAAGAUUACAAUCAAACAGGACAAAGCAAGAUACAAUAAGAUGAGGAAAAAUUCUUCCUAUCUAUCAAGGCUGUACAAGACAACCCAAUAGGAUGAAACCAUGAGCAGGAAAAACAUCCAGAGACUACUUGUUCCAAUGAUUAAGAGUCCUACAAAAUGCUUUUGACUCAAUGGUAGCACAUUUUAUUCCAAAUCAGAAGAUUGUGUGUUCAAACCAUGCUGGGGUCAUCAAUAGGGCUUUAAUUAUGUGUGUAUUAUGUGUACCUUAAUAAAUGAAAACCUAUUCCUAUGACAAUGGAAAAUGAUCCUUUUUAAAAACAAGAGGAUUUUAAAAAAAUGUUAAGGUUCCUCCUCUAGCCCUCAGGUCAGUAGAAAAGACAAAGGAAAAUGAACUACGUCUGAGGGAGUCUUUUCAAUGUGAUACAGAAAAUAGAAGAGUUUGCCAACUUAGUGAAUAUAUGCCAAGGCCAAGUAGAGGUGAUAGACUUUCUAGAUUGGGAAUAAUAAUCUCCAAUACCAAGUA